GACGAACGCUGGCGGCGUGCUUAACACAUGCAAGUCGAACGGUGAAGCGCCUUCCUUUUUGGUGGGUGUGGAUGAGUGGCGAACGGGUGAGUAACACGUGAGUAACCUGCCCCCUUCUUCUGGAUAACCGCAUGAAAGUGUGGCUAAUACGGGAUAUUCUGGGUCUGUCGCAUGAUGGGUCUGGGAAAGAUAUUGUUUCGGUGGGGGAUGGGCUCGCGGCCUAUCAGCUUGUUGGUGGGGUGAUGGCCUACCAAGGCGGUGACGGGUAGCCGGCCUGAGGGGGUGGACGGUCACACUGGGGCUGCGACACGGCCCAGACUACUGCGGGCGGCAGCAGGGGGGAAUAUGGCACAGUGGGCGCAAGCCUGAUGCAGCGACGCCGCGGGGGGGAUGGAGUCCUUCGGGUUGUGAACCUCUUUCGCCAGUGAAGCAGGCCUGCCUCGUUUGUGGGUGGGUUGACGGUAGCUGGAUAAGAAGCGCCGGCUAACUACGUG
rnacentral:rRNA from 1 species